AGCAUGCCGGCUCCACACUGACGGUGAGGCACGAAAGCGUGGGUAUCGAACAGGAUUAGAUACCCUGGUAGUCCACGCAGUAAACGAUGAAUGCUGGCUGUCCGGGGGGAUUGACCCCUGGGUGGCGAAGCGAAAGCGAUAAGCAUUCCACCUGGGGAGUACGCCGGCAACGGUGAAACUCAAAGGAAUUGACGGGGGCCCGCACAAGCGGAGGAACAUGUGGUUUAAUUCGAUGAUACGCGAGGAACCUUACCCGGGCUCAAACGGGGAGUGACUCAGGCAGAGACGCCUGUUUCCCACGGGACACUCCCCGAGGUGCUGCAUGGUUGUCGUCAGCUCGUGCCGUGAGGUGUCGGCUUAAGUGCCAUAACGAGCGCAACCCCCGCGUGCAGUUGCUAACAGAUAACGCUGAGGACUCUGCACGGACUGCCGGCGCAAGCCGCGAGGAAGGCGGGGAUGACGUCAAAUCAGCACGGCCCUUACGUCCGGGGCGACACACGUGUUACAAUGGGUGGUACAGCGGGAAGCCAGGCGGCGACGCCGAGCGGAACCCGAAAUCCACUCUCAGUUCGGAUCGGAGUCUGCAACCCGACUCCGUGAAGCUGGAUUCGCUAGUAAUC
rnacentral:rRNA from 1 species